rnacentral:rRNA from 1 species
GACGAACGCUGGCGGCGUGCUUAACACAUGCAAGUCGAACGGAAAGGCCCUGCUUUUGUCGGGUGCUCGAGUGGCGAACGGAUGAGUAACACGUGAGUAACCUGCCCUUGACUUUGGGAUAACUUCAGGAAACUGGGGCUAAUACCCGAUAGGAGCUCCUGCUGCAUGGUGGGGGUUGGAAAGUUUCGGCGGUUGGGGAUGUACUCGCGGCUUAUCAGCUUGUUGGUGGGGUAGUGGCUUACCAAGGCUUUGACCGGUAGCCGGCCUGAGAGGGUGACCGGCCACAUUGGGACUGAGCUGCGGCCCAGACUCCUACGGGAGGCAGCAGUGGGGAAUAUUGCACAAUGGGCGGAAGCCUGAUGCAGCAACGCCGCGUGCGGGAUGACGGCCUUCGGGUUGUAAACCGCUUUCGCCUGUGACGAAGAGUGAGUGACGGUAAUGGGUAAAGAAGCACCGGCUAACUACGUG